AACGAACGCUGGCGGCAGGCUUAACACAUGCAAGUCGAGCGCCCCGCAAGGGGAGCGGCAGACGGGUGAGUAACGCGUGGGAAUCUACCCAUCUCUACGGAAUAACGCAUGGAAAGGUGUGCUAAUACCGUAUACGUCCUUCGGGAGAAAGAUUUAUCGGAGAUGGAUGAGCCGGCGUUUGAUUAGCUAGUUGGUGGGGUAAAGGCCUACGAAGGCGACGAUCCAUAGCUGGUCUGAGAGGAUGAACAGCCACACUGGGACUGAGACACGGCCCAGACUCCUACGGGAGGCAGCAGUGGGGAAUAUUGGACAAUGGGGGCAAGCCUGAUCCAGCCAUGCCGCGUGAGUGAUGAAGGCCCUAGGGUUGUAAAGCUCUUUCACCGGUGAAGAUAAUGACGGUAACCGGAGAAGAAGCCCCGGCUAACUUCGUGCCAGCCGCCGCGGUAAGAC
rnacentral:rRNA from 1 species